rnacentral:misc_RNA from 1 species
GAUGAAGAACGCAGCGAAAUGCGAUAAGUAAUGUGAAUUGCAGAAUUCCGUGAAUCAUCGAAUCUUUGAACGCACAUUGCGCCCUCUGGUAUUCCGGGGGGCAUGCCUGUCCGAGCGUCAUUGCUGCCCUCAAGCACGGCUUGUGUGUUGGGCCUCCGUCCUCCUCCCGGGGGACGGGCCCGAAAGGCAGCGGCGGCACCGCGUCCGGUCCUCGAGCGUAUGGGGCUUCGUCACCCGCUCUUGUAGGCCCGGCCGGCGCUUGCCGACACAUCAAUCUUUUUUCCAGGUUGACCUCGGAUCAGGUAGGGAUACCCGCUGAACUUAAGCAUAUCAAUAAGCGGAGGA